GGGCGAAUGGUUUAGUGGUAUAAUACUCCCUUAGCAUAUUUCACCUGAAUAUCUGGGAGUGGUCCAGGGUUCGAUUCCCUGUUCGUCCA
rnacentral:tRNA from 1 species